UUUGCAUUUGAUGACUAUAUACCGCCCCAGUCUGACUAUCAACUGAUGUAUCGGUAUUUCUGAUGCACA